rnacentral:rRNA from 1 species
GAUGAACGCUGGCGGCGUGCUUAACACAUGCAAGUCGAACGGAGUUUUGUAAAUUGAAGGAAGUAGCUUGCUACCUACGGAUUUUUAUAAAACUUAGUGGCGGACGGGUGAGUAACGCGUGGGUAACCUGCCGUAUACAGGGGGACAACAGUUGGAAACGACUGCUAAUACCGCAUAAGCGCACAGUACCGCAUGGUACAGUGUGAAAAACUCCGGUGGUGUGAGAUGGACCCGCGUCUGAUUAGCUGGUUGGUGGGUAACGGCCUACCAAGGCAACGAUCAGUAGCCGGCCUGAGAGGGUGACCGGCCACAUUGGGACUGAGACACGGCCCAAACUCCUACGGGGAGGCAGCAGUGGGGAAUAUUGCACAAUGGGGGGAAACCCUGAUGCAGCGACGCCGCGUGAGUGAAGAAGUAUUUCGGUAUGUAAAGCUCUAAUCAGCAGGGAGAAAAUGACGGUACCUGACUAAGAAGCCCCGGCUAACUACGUGCCAGCAGCCGCGGU